rnacentral:rRNA from 1 species
CCUACGGGUGGCAGCAGUGAGGAAUAUUGGUCAAUGGUCGGGAGACUGAACCAGCCAAGCCGCGUGAGGGAUGAAGGUACAGAGUAUCGUAAACCUCUUUUGUCAGGGAACAAAGGCGGGGACGUGUCCCCGGAUGAGUGUACCUGAAGAAAAAGCAUCGGCUAACUCCGUGCCAGCAGCCGCGGUAAUACGAGGGAUGCGAGCGUUAGCCGGCUUUAUGGGGUUUAAAGGGUGCGCAGGCGGUCUGUUAAGUCAGCGGUCGAAGCCCGGGGCUGAACCCCGGCCAGCCGUUGAAACUGGCAGUAUCGAGUUGGAGAGAGGUAUGCGGCAUGCGCGGUGUAGCGGUGCAAUGCAUAGAUAUCGCGCAGAACUCCGAUUGCGAAGGCAGCAUGCCGGCUCCACACUGACGCUGAGGCACGAAAGCGUGGGUAUCGAACAGGAUUAGAUACCCCUGUAGUC